UAGGAUAUGUUCCUAAGAGUGGAAUUGCUGGAUCAUGUGGUAUUUCUAUUUCUAGCUUUUUAAGGAAGCAUCACAUCAUUUUCCAAAGUGGUUGUACCAUUUUACAUUCCCACCAGCAGUGCAUAAGAGUUUCAAUCUCCCUGCAACUGCUUCAACAUCUGUUAUUUGGUGUUUUUUGGAUUAUUGCCAGUAAUGUUGGUGUGUAGAUGGUCUCUCAUUGUAGUUUUGAUUUGCAUUUCUCUAAUGGCUAAUGAUGGCAAUCAUUUCCUCAUGUGACUUUUGGCCACUUGAAUGUCUUCUUUAGUAAAGUGUCUGUUCAUAUCCUUUGCCCAUCUUUUAAUUGGAUUAUUUGUCUUUUUGUUAUUGAGGUGUUGAAGUAUUUUGUAGAUUUUAGAUUAGACCCUUGUUGGAUAUGUUGUAGACAAAAAUUUAUUUCCCAGUCUGUAGGUUCUCUUUUUACUCAUUUGGUGAAUUCCUUUGAUGAGUGUAAGUGUUUAAUUUUUAGGAGCUCCCAGUUAUCUAGUUUCUUCUCUGGUGUUUGUGCAUCAUUAGUUAUGGUUUGUAUACUAUUUAUGCCAUGUAUUAGGACCCUAGUAUUGUCCCUAUUUUUUCUUCCAUGAUCUUUAUUGUUUUGGAUUUUAUAUUUAGGUCUUUGAUCUCUUUUGAGGUAGUUUUUGUGUACAGUGUGAGGUGUGGGUCUUGUUUCAUUUUUCACAGAUGGACAUCCAGUUAUGCCAGCACCACUUAUUAAAAGGAACUGUCAUUUCCCCACUUAACAGACUUUGGUCCUUUGUCAAAUAUCAACUGCUAGUAGAUGGAUGAAGUUACAUCUGGGUUCUCAAUUCUGUUCCAUUGGUCUCUGUGUCUGUUCUUAUACUACUACUAGGCUGUUUUGCCUACUAUGAUUAUAUAAUAGGUUCUAAAAUCAGGUAGUGUAAGGCCUCCCACUUUGUUCUUCUUAUUCAGUAAUGCUUUACUUUUCCGGGGUCUCUUCCCUUUCCAUGUGAAGUUGGUGAUUUGUUUCUCCAUCUCGUUAAAGAAUGCUGUUGGAAUUUGGAUCAGUAUUGCAUUGUAUCUGUAGAUCACUUUGGGUAGAGUAUACCUAUCCAUGGGCAUGAUAUGUUUUUCCACUUAUGCAGAUCUCUUUUGGUUUCUUACAGUAGUGUCUUGUAGUUUUCUUUGUAUAGGUCUUUUAUGUCCCUGGUUAGAUGUAUUCCUAAGUACUUUAUCUUCUUGGGGCCUAUUGUAAAUGGCAUUGAUUUGGUGAUCUCCUUUUCAGAGUUCUCUUUGUUGGUGUAGAAGAAUCCAACUGAUUUUUGUAUGUUCAUCUUGUAUCCUGCUACUCUGCUGAAAUGUUUUAUUAGUUCCAGUAGCUUUCUUGUGGAUUCUUUGGGAUUUUCUGAGUAUAAGAGCAUAUCAUCUGUGAAUAGGGAUAGUUUUACCUCUUCCUUACCAAUUUGGAUGCACUUUAUUUCUCUUGCCUUAUUUCUCUAGCUAAGACUUGCAGCACAAUGUUGAAAAGGGCAGUGAUAAAGGGGAACCUUGUCUGGUUUCUGUUGUCAGAGGGAAUGCUUUCAGCCUGUCUCCAUUUAGGGUGAUGUUGGCUGUUGGUUUUGUGUAAAUGCCCUUUAUUAUGUUGAGGAAUUCCCCUUCUAUUCCUAUUUUGCUGAGAGUUUUUUUUAUCAGGAAUGAAUGUUGGACUUUGUCAAAUGCUUUUUCUGCAUAGAUUGAUAUGAUCAUGUGAUUUUUUCUUUUGUCUUACUUAUGUGGUGGAUUAUGUUGUUUGACUUUCUAAUGUUGAACCAUUCCUGCAUACCUGGUAUGAGUUCCACUUGAUCAUGAUGUAUUAUUUUUUUUUUUUGAUAUGCUAUUGAAUUCUACUGGCUAGAAUUGUUUUGAGAAUUUUUGUGUCUGUGUUGAUGAUGCAUGUGACAAGUGGACAAUGAAUAAAGAAGACCAAAGAAGAACUGAUGCCUUUGGAUGAUGGUGUUGGUGAAGAAUAAUGAAUAUACCAUGGACUUCCAGAAGAACGAACAGCUCUGUCUUGGAAGAAGUACAGCCAGAAUGCUCCUUGAAAGUGGUGUAGUUAACGUGCUCGGCAGCUAAACAAAAUGUUGGCAGUUGAAGUCCACCCACAGGCACCUCGGAAGAAGGACCUGGUGAUCUACUUCCAAAACAUCAGUCACCGAAAACCCUACAGAGCACAGUUCCACUCUGAUGUACCUGAAGUUGCUAGAUGGGUCCAACUUCUCAUGAUCCCAUCCAAUAUUGGGGAUGGUGACAAGAAGUGGCAGCACCCAGAAGGCUCAGUGGAUGGCAGUGUAGCCCGUCAUAACAUCCCCAGAAGGAAGGGAAGGUCAUCGGCUGAGUCACAAGCCCUUCAGGCGAGCACGAGCAGCGCACGUAUUGGCAGCACAAACCAUCUCUGUUAGUUGUUUCCGGCUGCAAGUAACAAAUCCUACUGAACUUGGCUUAACCGAUAAGGAAAUACAUUUUAUCAUAUAUCAAGAAAACUAGAAGUAGGAGUACUCCAAAGACCGAACAAUCCAUGCUCAGCAACAUCAUCAGGAAAUCGAGUUUUCCCAUAUUUCCCGUCUGUCAUCCUCAGUGUUGCAGCGUUUUCCUCUUCAGGUGGCAACAAGGCUGUAGCCAUUUCAGAUACGGCAUCCAGAUAUAACAAUGGAUAGCAGAAAAGGAGCACGUCUCUUCCAGUGUGGCCCCCUUUGCAGUAAGAAAAUCUUUUCCUGCAGCCCCCAGCAGUGAGCUCCUCACCCACGGCCAGAACUGGACCACAAGCCCCUGAUUAAGCCAUUCGCUCACAAGGCGGGUGGAGCCACAUGACUGACUACUCCUACCAGGCUCUACUUCCGGGACUGGGGCUGGAGAUGGCUCGCCCGAGGCAUGUGCCUGUCUGGAGUGGGUUGGAUAGCUAAACAUCAUUUAAGGUCUGGUGUAGUGGUUAAGAGUUACGGCUGCUAACCAUAAAGGUCAUCAGUUCGAAUCCACCAGCUGCUCCUUGGGAACCAUUUGGGGUAGUUCUACUCUAUCCUAUAGGGUCACUAUGAGUCAGAAUAGACUCAAUGGCAAUGGGUUUGAUUUUGUUUUUUGGGUUUUUUUUUUUUUUUUUGG